GCAGUGGUGGUUCAGUGGUAGAAUUCUCACCUUCCACGCGGGAGACCCAGGUUCGAUUCCUGGCCAGUGCA
rnacentral:tRNA from 1 species